AUAUUUGAUAGUACAAAAUAAUAAUUUAAUGAUUUUUUCAUUGAAAUAUAGAGUUGUCAAAAUGAGCUGAUUCAAUUUUAAUGAGCUAGAGAGUUAAAUGAAACUUAUCAAUCAAAUUGUAAAUUCCUCCCAUUUUCUAUGCAAUUGCCCAGACACAUAAAAGUUUUUCUUUGCUUCCUUCGUAAGUUUCCUCCACAAUUACCCAGAAAUUCAACCAAAAUAUCUUGUUAGGCCCAGAAAAUCAAUUCACAUUCCUCUGUGUGAACUCAAAUAAAUUUUCGGCUGCACUUACUUAUAAUUGAGAUCUGAACUCAUUUUGCAGAAAAACACAAUAUAUCUUUUACAUUUUCUACGAUGAAGCAAAGAGAUGAGUGCUUUGUAUUUGCUGAGGAAAUACCCAAACGCAGCUAAGUUCUGCAAAAACUUCUCCAUCACUUGCUUGAUGUUCGCCAUGGCUUUUGCUGCAUUUUGCUUUUUGUAGAUUCGAAAUUUUUUUAUUUGUACCUACGUAUGUGAUUUAUGUUAAAGUUACUCAACUCAUAUGAAGUUUUCCUAGCUUGUUUUUUUCUUGAUUAUAAUAAUAUAUAUAUAUAU